AUGCGUAAGUCAUAGGUAGGUAAUUAAAUCAAAAUUACAAAAUAUUCAAUUGAAUUGAUCAUCGAUGAUCGCAAUUAAAAAAUGGUAUUCGAUUUUAUUACCUGCUCUACACAAAUAAUAAAACUGGAAAAUAAAUUUUCCUAUCGAAUUGAAAAUAUAAAAGUAUCCGAGUAAGGACCUAUAACGUGAAACUUUACAUUUGCAAACAUAACAUCGUCUGCUUGGCCUAUUUGUGGAAGAACUCCAGACAUGUGUAAAAUUACAAUUUUCAUCAUCAGUUUAUGCAUCGUCUACAUUGCAAUGAUUACAGAAGCUAAAUCUAAAUCUGUAGAUAGAACGUGUGCUUUUAAUGGUAAGCAACACCCCAGUAAAGAUAAGUGCUCGUGGCAAUGCUAUGUAGACUGUAAUUUGGACAAGAGAUGCGGCGGAUACGUAAAAUGUAUACCAUCAGAGGAAAACAAGAAAUGGUUUACAUGCGUUUGUGAGAAUUAUUGAUUAUGUGCCCAACAAGAUUCAAUUUCAAGUAUUGUGAUAAGUUAAUUUAAGCUAUAGUGGUCCCUUAUGCAUAAAUUUUCAAUCUAGGAUGUGUUUGCGCUUCAGUCUCCAGACUGAGUCAUUGUCCAUGAGUUUUCUCAACAACAGCAGCAACGACAAAAUCACCGAUGCAACUUGCACCAGAAUAAUUUUGACAUCAAUCCGCAAAAUGUGACUAGCCUGGGUGCAAGAAUCCGAAACUACGUGGAAUAGCGAGCCCCAUACGCUUUGUCAAAACUCACUCUCCUCAUCAAAUUCAAAAUUGACUCAGUCUGUAUUGUUGUUUUUCAAAAUCGUGGAUCCUCCAGUGGAGGGGGAGUUACGCUGUGGCUCUUUAUAGGAAAUCCACCUAUCAAAAAGAAAAUUAUAGAUAUUUUUUGUAAUUUUUGAAAAUUUUAAAACAAAGCACAAGCUAUCGAUGGCCUGGUUCAAAUACCACUCAAGUCCUGGAUUUAUACAUAAUAAAGUCCGACAUACUUACUAGGUUUAUAGUAUAGAAAAACCACAUUAGUACAAAAAUUUCAUCAAUUAUAAAUUUGAAAACCUCAUAAUGUCAUCUUGAUACGCAAAGUGGCUAUGGCUAACUCCAUUUUUGUAAAUUGUUCAGGAAAUGCAAAAAACAGCGUUAUCAACUAAGUAUUGAUGGGUGUUACAUAGUUGAGGUUAUUUAAGUAAAAGGCUACUAAAAUUUUUUUUUCACUUGACACAUUUUAAGCCACUUCGAGUGGAGUUGGAUAUUUUUCCCAACUUCAAACACUGAUACUACACCAAUGAAUUCACCUGAGGUAAUUUUCAAUGUCGGAAGUUACAUACGAAGUGUUCACCUUUCAGAUGGUGUUCAUAACUCAUUUUCAUGUAGCGUAAAAAUGAAACAGUUUCACAUAACUAAAUACUCAGUGUGUUAUCAUUUAGUAGAGUCAGAUGAUUUUCCUGACUUUAACCACAAAUAAGAUGGGCCUGCAUAUAGGUGUGUUUUGAAGGUUUCAACUUAUGAAUUAAGUGAAGAAAAAUCAGAUGGCACUCAUAACUCAUUUUGGUCAAAAAUUGGAGUUAGCCACUUUGUGUAUUAAGACGAUGACAAGUCCUUGUUAAAAACCACAUAAGUCGUAUGUACCCGUACAACAAUGACCAUGCUAAUUUCGAUGUGAAUGUCGACCCAUCCACAUCCGUCACUUUUGGAUGCCACAUGUCAAUGUGAAUUUCGGCUCUGUGUCAAGCCAAUUGUUGAUGUAAUUGUCGACAGGGGUGCUAACCUUAAUUAUUUUAAUUUCAAUUACGGUUUCACUCCAAUUUUUCCUUGGAAUUUUUCAGUUUUAGGUUUGGUUUUGGUUUUGAAAUUCAAAAUUUCGGGUUUCGGUUUCGGUUUUGAUCUCAUUUAUAAAAAUUUUGGUUUCAAUUUUGGUUUUCGGUUUUUUUCGGUUUUACAUAAUUUUUUUUUUCAAACAUCUUCAAUUCAAAAUUUCUCAAUCUCAGGAAACAAAGUAUAUUAAUUUCAUAUUAAUUCUAAAAAAGUAUAUAUUUUUCAAGAACAAUAAUUUGUAUAAUUUUUUUAAUACAUAAAUUUGUAAACAAAAGUCAAAAAAGUGAAAAAAUCCCCCCAAAAAAAUAGAAAAACCUGAAAAAACCCAAACCGAAAACCGAAAAAAACCGAAAUAAAUUAUAUCGGUUUAGCUUUCGGUUUCACUCACUCUGCUUCAUUUUUAUUGUUAUGGUUUUUUACAGUUUUUAAAAAAACUAUGAAAUUUCGGUUUUUGUUUUCAGUUAGGGUUUGAAAAUGGCUAAAAUUAGGUUCUUGUUUGGGUUUCGGUUACGGUUUUCGGUUUUUUGCGGUUACAGUUAGCACCCCUGAUUGUCGACCAAUGUUGAUCGGCAUUUAUGUCCACAAUUGGCUCGACACGGGGCCAAAAUUUACAUCGACAUGUGGAGUCCAAAUGUGACGGAUGUGGAUGGAUCGACAUUGGCAUUGAAAUUUACGUCGACCUCCAGCUACGCAAAAUUGUUAAAUUUUAUUAGUUUCAAAAUUGAAAUUUUUUCCAAAAAUCAUUUUCUCUUACACACUUAGGUUAGGUGGCCAUUGCUCAUGCUGAAAGCGAAAGCAGAAUCCACGCGGGGCCCCCACCCACGAGAAGUACAGACAGAAAGUCCAUAUUCAGUACAGUUGAACAUUAUACUCUUCAUACUGAAAGGCGCAAUAGGUUAUCUAAGAGUACUAAACUAAUACAUUUUCAUGUCGACGACAUGUCGAUGUUGAUGUUGAUGUGAAAUUUGACAUCAACAAAUACAUCCACAAUAAUAUCAACUCAAUUUUUCAAAUUUGAGAAAUCUUUGAAAAUUUGGUCGAUGUUAGUGUCGAUGUGUUUGUGGAUGAUCGACUUUCACAUCGACAUAACAUCGACAACUCCAAACUAUGGAAAAGUGAAUGAUUUUAUCAAUGCCAUUAAAAAAUUUUUCUCCCUUCAAACAAAGAUCAUCUUUUCUAAUGUUUACUGAGCUUUUAAACACUGAAACAGACAUUUUAAUUCUGAAAAAUUGGUCGACAUAGUUGUGGAUGUAAAUUUUGAGCAUCGAAUUUCACAUCAACAUGUUGACAUCGCAUGUCAAGGUAUCAGAAAUAAUGAGAAAAUUUCGAAAAUUUUCAUUAACCUGGCUUCUUUACGGACAGAAGAUUCCUAUUGAAUAACUCAUUGGUCACUUUUCCAUCAUCAUGUUGGAAAAAAACAUAGUCGAUGUAAAUGUCGACGUCGACAAUUGUUAUAAGGGUAAGGUAUGAUGAUGAAAACCUUGUAUGUAGUCUUUAGGAACCUUUUAUGUCCUUUCAAAGCGCUUUAAUCAACUACCUACUUAUAAUUGAGGAGGUGGAUAGCAGAACGCAAUAACUCCAAAAUUACGAAAAUUGAGUUAGAUAUCUAUCCUUAUGUAAAAUUCAACGGGGAAUCCAUUCCCGGUGUCAGAUUUUGUCCAUCAGUUGAAUAUCAUAGCGCAAUCGAGGAAAACAAGUCUGAUUUUAGAGCUAAAUGCAUUAAAAAAUGAGAUUUUGUUUGCAAACCGCAAUAACUCCACUACUUUUUAUACAUUUCAGUUGCGCAGAUGUGGUAACACUGUUUUUUUUCAUCGGGUAGAUACUGAAACUCAUUGGGUAGGAGUUACUAAAAAAAAUUGUGCUUUCGUUCCCACUCUCUGAAUGCUAUAUCACAGACAGGAAUUGUUUGAAUUUCGCAUUUCAGUUUUGUAUUGAAAAUUUUCGAUUAAACAUACUUUUUUUCAAUAAUUUUUCAAUUUCUUCAAAUAAAAAAUACGUUUUUUUUGCAGAAAAACACCCAAAAAAAAAAUUUGCGUUCAAAACGCAAUAACUUUUUUUCCUUUUCCUCUCUGUGCUUACCCAGGUGACCAAAAUUUUGAAAUUGAGUGGAAAUUUCAUUUAUGGCACCCUCCCCUUUCAUUUGACACCAAUUUUGAAACUCGACCCCCCACCCCUCCCCUCCUGGCCAUUUUUCCUAAUUUCCCCAAAAAAAACAAAAAUGGAGUUAUUGCGUUCUGCUAUCCACCUCCUCAAUUAAUCAACCUAUAAAAUAUUGUCAGACCUUACUGUUAAGACCCCUAAAAUGAGGAGAAGGUACAAUUAUGGACCCCUGGACAUGGGCAAAUGUGGACGGGAUCACUCUUUGUUUAGAGAAAACUGUGGUAACUUACCUGAGAACUUACCAGUACGUUACCAUGACAUAAAUUACCAUAAGUUACCGCGGUAAUUUAUAAAUUUUCGAUAGAAAUGUUGACAAGGGUAAUUUUGGACGUUUGCACGAACUCCUAGAGCUGUCUAGAUACAACAAGUUACAAUUUGCUCAUGCUUCUGGUGAAAUACACUGUAGUUGUAAUACAAACGAAUUGAAACACAAUUAUUUGACCACUUCAAUGUGUAAAUAAAUAGGUAGGUAGGUAUUACAAAUCAUCAAAAGUUGUGUUUUUUUUCUUUUUGAAUGCUGUGUCUGUGUGGUUUGAACUUGAACUUGAGAAAUUAUUGAUGUUGAGAAAAUGUGAUUUCUUUACCAUAGGUACCUAAUUUCGUUCUUGAAUUUUGCGGUUUAGGUUUUUCUUGUGAGGAAAUCCUGGAAAACUGUGGUUUGAAAUCCAAAUUUCAGUAUCUCAAAAUCUCACAUCAUGAUUCAAAACUGGUUUUAGUUUACUUUUCAAAUUGAAAAAUUUCCGCAUCCACAGCUAUCAAAUUUUCCAAGGUUUUUGAGGGAGAAAAAAUUGCUUAAGAAGUGAAGGAAUUCCAGAAAUUGUCAAAAUCAAUAAACUCGCUUUCCACAAGAAAACUACGAUUUAUUUUUUCAUUGAGUCGUGAUCAGUUUCUGAAAAACUUCCAUCAUCAGACACUGACCGAAUAGGCGAAUACCUACAGUAGAUAAUUGAAAAUUUGAAAAUGAAAACGAAGUCGAAACAAAUGAUACAAAUAAGACGAAAAAUGAAUGUUGAUGUUACAUGUGUUAGGUGCCUACAUAAAUCAGGUCAAUAGACCUAUCGUCGUAGUAAUUAGUGAUUAGUGUUAUCAUUUAUUGCCUAACAUGUAUUAAUCAACAAUUUUCAACGAUUGUUGUUAAUUUUAAUGCUUUUUAAUCGAGAUUCGAAAUAUGUAGGGAACUAAAAUUUUAUUAUAUUUAUAACCCACCUACGUGUAUUACAUACGUAUAGUUUUUUGCUGCAUUUUUUUUCCUGUUGAAUUAAAUUCGAGAAAAUGUAGUAAGAAUACGUACCUACGUGCCUCGUUUUCUCCAAAUAAUGGUAAAAAAGUGAACUCGAUAUGAGUAAAAAUACGAUUUUUGUGAUCAGUUUAUUGAUUGUUUAUGUUGCUGUAGUUCCAGAGAUCGAAUCUGGCAGAAUAUGCGACGCUGAUGGCAAAACCUUCUUUACUUAUGAUAGUUGCAUAGUUACGUGCCAUACAGGUUGUGCGGCCAACGAAUGUGGAAAAAUCAGAGCAUGUAGGAAGGUAGUGGACAAAAGCGUAGAUCCAUAUUAUGAAUGUAUUUGCGGGAUUAAUAAGUACUCGUGAAUACGAGCACAAGGUUCAAUUUAAAUUAGGUGCUGUGACGUCUUAAUUUAGGCUUUUUGUAGACUAAUAAAUUUACCUAUACUAAAAACUCGA